ensembl:lncRNA
AUGUUGCAAGCGGCCAAUUCCCCUGUGCACCUCAGCACUGAAAGAGCCUUUCCUAAAGAGCAAAUUUCUCUAAAAGAGUUUCAUGGGUGCCUCUGUGUAAAGGCGAUGGAUCGUCCUUAUAAGGAUGCCGUUUCACCUGUGCGUUUCUGGGUGCGGUCGUUACCUGGUCGCGAUCACCCAUCCUGGCCCCCGUCAAACCUGGCGGUGAGCGGAAGAGCAGGAGGCCCCGGGACGGGUGACCCAGAGAGAGGUAGCCGCUUUCUGGGGGAUGGUGAAAGCACCUCUCCCUCCCCUGGAGGAGGGCCGGGUGGAGAAUCUGGAAAUCUCAACGAGAGAGCGGUUUUCUCUAUCUCUGGGUCCCAGGAGGGCACAGAGAGUUGUGGAAGGCCAAGCACCGGACCUCACUCAUCCUCCUCCUUCGCCAGAUGGGAGCAGCGGGCAGUUCGAGAGUGUCAACGAAGGCCCUACUUACGCACCCUCUGCCAACCUGUGGAACCAGGUAAGCCUUACACCCAAACACUCACAAGCUCACAAGCUGCCCGAGUUGGGUCCCUGUGUUCCACCGCGCUGCCCCACUGCGGGUACGGCUGUGGUUCUGGUGUUCCCGCUUGUACGGUUUCUAAGCAUCUGGUCAGCGCUACUCAGCCCGUCUCGCUGGCUUCUUCAGACCAUCAGCCUCGGCUAUGCGAUUCAGUUCGCCCAGCGUCCCCCCAAGUUCAGCAGUAUCCGCUUCACUACAGUGAAAGCGUCCGAUGCCCCUGUUCUGUGGGUAGAGAUCGCAGUCCUACUGGUGAAGGACGCGAUAGAGUCGGUCCCUCCAGCCGAUAUGAGGACGGGGUUUUACAGCCCUUACUUCAUUGUACCCAAGAAAGGCAGUGGGUUACGAUCGAUCUUGGAUCUGUGAGUUUUGAACUGGUUCCUUCAUCGGCUACCGUUCAAGAUGUUGACGCAGAAACGCAUCUUCGGGUGCAUCCGGUGCUCUGGCACCUCAGCCUGUUGGGCCUUCGGGUCAACAGGGGAAAGAGCUACUCGAUGUAG